rnacentral:lncRNA from 1 species
UCCUUUAGAACAAAAGCAAGGAAAGGAAAUUAAUAUAUCUGAUCGCAUGUCAUAUUCCAUACUCUACCUGAAGGAAAAAGUGUUGAAAGAAAACAAAUAUUUAUAUCAUAUUCUGAAUAAAAUUAAUGUGUACUCCCUUCAUUUUCAAUUCACUCUCCUGCGCUAUGUGCUGACGAUGAUAUAGUGUUGCCCAGUCCAAUGGCCAUCCAUCAAUCCAUUUUUCAAUUGCAUGACAAGACAUUUUCUGAUUGGUUGCACAAUGGCAUUUUGACAACAAAUUCUCCAUCUAGGCAGUACUUUUAGGCUUUGGCAGUUGAUGCUCACUUUUUAUCACCAGACAUGCAUGCUAAUUAAUUAGGCCACAUAUUGAUGUUAUCUAGCUAGCUAGCUUUACAUGGCACUGCUUGCAUAUUGGAACAACCAGCCUCCAGAAGUUAGUUCAUGUCAGGUCUACAUUAUCUUUCCUGUAAUAAAAUAAAAAUUUACUUCUACUAGUGGAAAGUUCUCAUGUAAAGUGCUAGUCCCAAGAUUGGUAAAAUAAUAAUUAUCUCAGUGAGUGCAGUGACAUGAGCAAACUAAUUUGACGUGAAAGAAUGAUGAUGCAGACAAGUGGGUCAGGUUGGUCCAACCUGAGUUUCACAAACCCUGAAGCAAGUGAACAUGUAAGCAAAACACCAUGGACCCGUUCUUUUUAAUUAAUUAUGGAAUGUAUUUAUUCCAAACAUGGCAUAAGGCACUUACUCAACUGUGUAAAUUUAGGAACGAACCACUUCCAGGUUCAGUGUGCAAAGUCAACUGGUGUAGAAAAUAUUUUGUGACCUUUAAAGUCGUGUAUAGACAUGGUUCGACAUCAUUUCUUGCUGACAAAGUGGAAUUACUCCCAAUCCAAAAAGAUUCCAAAUCGAAAAGCGAAAUAUGAUAUAAGAGAUUACUGGUGACAAAGCGGAAUUACCCGCAACUCUGAAUAAAAUGUUCGUACUCAGAAUUCAGAAGUACUAAUACUUCUAAGUGGUUUGACCCUUUCAAACAUGAUCAUAAUUCAAAAUGGUGCAACAAGAAGUAGCAAAAUAAGCCGUGAGAAACACAUAAGAGUAAGGUUGCAACUUCUUUUAUUAUCAGAAGGUUGUAACAUUCUGCAAAACGCACUGGGCAUUGUAUCGAGCACCUGGCGAGCACGGACAACAGAUUGGGACAACUCACCCUGAAUCCGGCGGGCGGCCUCCUCCUCCGUCAGCCAAUCACCUCGCCUCGCCGGUGCCGCCGUGCCGAGGCCUUCCAUUGUGACGCCCUUCGUCGCCCACUCGCCCGUCACGUCCGUCGCCGGGAAGGAGAAAUGGUCCUGCUUGCGCCGCCGUGAGGAAGGAAAACGCCCAGCCGUGCGCCUCACCUUCUCCAAAGCCAUUUCACCGGAAAAGUCUAAUUGGGCCGGUUAACCACAAACA